CAUGCAGUCGAACGGCAGCACGGGAGCUUGCUCCUGGUGGCGAGUGGCGAACGGGUGAGUAAUAUAUCGGAACGUACCCUAGAGUGGGGGAUAACGCAGCGAAAGUUGCGCUAAUACCGCAUACGAUCUACGGAUGAAAGUGGGGGAUCGCAAGACCUCAUGCUCAUGGAGCGGCCGAUAUCUGAUUAGCUAGUUGGUAGGGUAAAAGCCUACCAAGGCUUCGAUCAGUAGCUGGUCUGAGAGGACGACCAGCCACACUGGAACUGAGACACGGUCCAGACUCCUACGGGAGGCAGCAGUGGGGAAUUUUGGACAAUGGGCGCAAGCCUGAUCCAGCAAUGCCGCGUGAGUGAAGAAGGCCUUCGGGUUGUAAAGCUCUUUUGUCAGGGAAGAAACGGUGGACUCUAAUACAGAUCACUAAUGACGGUACCUGAAGAAUAAGCACCGGCUAACUACGUGCCAGCAGCCGCGGUAAUACGUAGGGUGCAAGCGUUAAUCGGAAUUACUGGGCGUAAAGCGUGCGCAGGCGGUUUGGUAAGACAGAUGUGAAAUCCCUGGGCUCAACCUAGGAAUUGCAUUUGUGACUGCCCGACUAGAGUGUGUCAGAGGGGGGUAGAAUUCCACGUGUAGCAGUGAAAUGCGUAGAGAUGUGGAGGAAUACCGAUGGCGAAGGCAGCCCCCUGGGAUAACACUGACGCUCAUGCACGAAAGCGUGGGGAGCAAACAGGAUUAGAUACCCUGGUAGUCCACGCCCUAAACGAUGUCUACUAGUUGUUGGGUCUUAAUUGACUUAGUAACGCAGCUA
rnacentral:rRNA from 1 species